CUGCAGAGUCUUCUGUCCUCAUCCAGACAGCCUGGGCACAGCCUGCUGGGAUGUGUACAGAGAGAGUGGACUUUAAACCCAGGGAGGUUGUGAUGAGGGUUUACGUCAUGGUAAAACCCUACUGUUACGAUCCCUGCCUCUCGGCAACGAAAGAGGCAGAAGAAGGCGUAGCCUUAGUUCAUCAGUCCACCUGUCAGUGUGCACUUUCACCACCCCAGCUCCGUCUCAUCUGGUAUUCAAGCACUAGUCUUUCCCUACCCCCUCGCUCAGCAUUGGUCUUUCUCCCUGUUUGGUUCUCUGGCUUCCCCUGGACUCUCGGCUCUCUCCUUCGGCUUCGGUAUUUGGAUCACGACUUGUCUCUAUCGGCCCCCGCAAGUGGGUUCACUACUUGGUUUCAGUUUCACUGGCCGAAUCCGUAACACCUACAUACAAUACUGUGUUCAGCUCCCCAGUAACAGUAUUUUACAGUACAGAACAGCAAAGAGAUUAUUGUUAUUAUUAUUAGUGAAAAACUGUCUGGCAUUCAUUCCAUAUUUAGCUCACAGCUCUGAAAGGAAAGUAAGAUUUUGUGAAGCUGGUCUCACACUUCAACACUUAAACACUAAAUCAUUAAUUCAAAAUCAUUACACUUUGUAAAAUUAAUUUAAUUAUAUUUAAUUAUAAUAGAUCAUUUCUGAAUGAGGACAUUCCCAACACACUAGCCUCUGUACUUACACAUAUAUUGUAGGUAGAUCAGUUAUAAUUCUGUUCGUACAUAUAUUCUCACUCUCAUUAAUAAUACUAUAUGUUUCUCAACCUUUUCUGUGUGUUUAUAGUGUGAUUGUACCUCUAUUCUCUAUAAUCAUGAGUCUUGUUCACUGCUAUUUUCUGUUUUAGCUUGUGAAGACAAAACCACAACCUUCCCCACAGUGAAGCUCUGAAUGACCAGAGGAACGUCACCAUGGCAACAGGGGUCAAAUACAGAAUGACCACAACACUUCACACUGCUACAGCCCUUCAGGAAACACAACUGUGGUGUUAAAAAUACUUUGAGAAAUUAAACACUACACUGGCUUUGUGCAAUUAGGACUUUCAGGUCAUGUGACUUGUAG
rnacentral:lncRNA from 1 species